AUGCUUUUGAAAAGUGGUUUACAUUUGACAUCAGUUAAGCUCCUUGGGCCAAGGCGUCUCAGGUCUGCUAUGUGGGGCCUGGACUCCACUCCCAGUGUGGUCACAAAUAUGCUUUAUUGGUUUCAAAGGCCUCUCAAGCCAGUUGGAAGGAUGAAUGAAUUCCUAGGGCAGUCUCACAUUAUCAAACAAGGGCCUCCCUAUUCCCUGAAACAUAGCAAUAUUGAAAUUAGACCAGCUGAUAACUCUACAAUGGCCUCUGAGUGCUUCAGUGAAAGGAAGAAUCUCAUGCCUCUCACGUGAAAUCAAACGCUAGAAAUGAUUAAGCUUAGUGAGGAAGGCAUGCUGAAGUCCAAGACAGGCUGAAAGUAAACCCUCUUGGGCCAGUUAGCCAAGUUGUGAAUGCAAAGGAAAAGUUUUUCCAGAAAACUAAUAGUGUUAUUCCAGUGAACAUACAAAUGAUAAGAUGAUGAAACAGACUUAUUGCUGAUAUGGAGAAAGUUUAAUGGUUUAGGUAGAUCAAACCAGCCACAACAUUCUCCUAAGCCAAAGCCUAACCCAGAGCAAGACCUUGUUUUCAAUUAUAUAAAGGCUGAAAGAAGUGAGGAAGCUGCAGAAGAAAAGUCUGAAGCAAGCAGAGGUUUCUUCAGGAGUCUUAAAAAACAAAACCCAUGUUCAUAACAUAAAAGUGCAAGAUGAAGCAGCAAGUGAUGAUGGAGAAGCUGCAGCAAGUUAUUCAGAUUUAGCCAAGACCAUUGAUGAUGGUGACUACAUUAAGCAAAAUGUAUUCAAUGCAGAUCAGACCACCUUAUACUGGAAGAAGAUGUCAUCAUGAACUCUCAAGCUAGAAUACCAGGUUUCAAUGCUCCAAAGGACAGACUUGGUAAGGACUAAUGCAUCUGGUGACUUUCAUUUGAAGCCAAUGAUCAUUGACCACUCUGAAAAUUGUAGGGCUCUUAAGAAUUAGGCUAAAUCUACUCUUCUUUUGCUCUAUAAAAGGAACAACAAGCCUUGAUAAUUGCACAUCUCUUUACAGCAUGGUUUAAUGAAUAUUUUAAGCCCUAAGCCCACUGUUGAGACCUACUGCUCAGGAAAAAAACAUCCUUUCAAAAUAGUAGUGCUCAUUGACAAUGCAGCUGGUCACCCAAGAGCUCGGAUGGAAACGUACAAGGAGACGAACAUUGUUUUCAUGACUGCUAACAACAUCAAUUCUGCAGCCUAUGGAUCAAGGAGUAAUUCUGACUUUCAACUCUUAUUACUUAAGAAAUAUAUUUUGCAUGGUUAUAGUUGCCUCUGAUGGAUCUGAGCAAAGUAAAUUGAAAACCUUUUAGAAAUGAUUCACUGUUUUAGGUGUCAUUAAGAACAUUAGUAAUUUAUGAAAGGCCAAAAUAUUCACAUUAACAAGAAUUUGGAAGAAGUCAAUUCCAGCUCUCAUGGAUGACUAUGACGAGUUUGAGACUUCAGUGGAGGAAGUUACUAUAGAUGUGAUAGAAAUGACAAGAGAACUAGAAUUAGAAGUGGAGCCUGAAGAUGUCCCUGAAUUGCUGCAAUCUCAUGAUAAAACUUUAACAGAUGAGGAGUUGUCUCUUAUGAAUGACUAAAAAGAGUCAUUUCUUGAGAUGGAAUUUACUGGUGAAGAUGCUAUAAUCAUUGUUGAAAUUGCAACAAAAGAUUUAGCAUAUUUCAUAUACUUAGUUGAUAAAGGAGCAGCAGUGUUUGAGAGAACUAACCUCGAUUUCGAAAGAACUAAUAUGGGUAAAAUGCAAUCAAACAACAUUGCAUGCCACAGAGAAAUUUUUCAUGAAAGGAAGAGACCAUAGAUAUGGCAAACUUGAUUGUGAAAUUAUUUUAAGAAAUUGCCAUAGCCACAGCAACCUUCAGAAACCAAUACACCGAUCAAUCAGCAGCCAUUAACAUCAAGGCAAGACCUCUCACCACCAAAAAGAUUAUGACUUGCUGAAGGCUCAGAUGAUCAUCAACAUUUUUUAGCAAUAAAGUACUUUUAAAUUAAGCAUGUUCAUUUUUAGACAUAAUGCUAUUGCAUACUUAAUUAUGGUAUAAUGUAAGCAUAACGUUUGUAUGCACUGAGAAACCAAAAACUUCAUAUAACUCACUUUAUUGUGGUAUUCACGUGAUUGGAAAGGUCUGGAACUGAACCCACAAUAUCUCCAAGGCAUGGCUAUACUUACCUCUGCAUAUAUGAACAUAUAUGUAUACAGUUAGGUACUGCAUAAUGGUCAAAAGGCCCACGUAUAGAACAGUAGUCCUGUAAGUUUACUGUAUAAUACCACAUUUUAUUGUAGCUUUUCUAUGUUUAGAUAUGUUCAGAUACAUGAAUAUUGACUAUUGUAUUGCAAUAGUCAAUACUACAGCAUUCCCUACAGUAACAUGCCCUACAAGUUUAUAGCCUAGAAGCAAUAGGCCAUACUUUAAAGUUUAAAUAUAUAUACUAUACCAUCUAGGUUUGUGUAAAUAUAUUCCAUGAUAUUUAUACAGUGACAAAACCACCUAACCACAUUUCUCAGAAUGUAUCCCUGUUGUUAAGCAAUGCAUAACUAUAUAUGUAUACAAAGAGAGAGAGAGAGAAGGCUGGGCAUUGUGGUUCAUGACUUGGAACCAGCCUGGGCAAUAUAGGGAGAACUCAUCUCCAGAAAAAUAUUUAAAAAUAAAGAAAUUUAGCUGGCUGUGGUGGUGUGCACAUGUGGUCCUAGCUACUUGGGAAACUGAGGUGGGAGGAUUGCUUAAGCCCAGGAGGUGGAGGUUGCACUGAGCUGUAAUCAUACCACUGCACUCCAGCCUGGGAGACAGAGCAAGAACCUAUUUCAACAAAAAUAAAAACAAAAAAGGGAAGGAAGAGAGGGCAAUAUAACUAUAUAACCAAAAUAGUAACAGUGCCUAACUUUGGGUGGUGGGAUUUAGUUAUUAUUAUUAUUUAGCUACCAAAAAAAUGAAAUCUUGAAAAACUGCAAUGGCUACCACUGCAUGGUGCUUUGUGGUAAAUACUGCUUGGCUGACCCUGUAUUUAUUUUCACACUUUCUUCCUGCAGUAGCUUCCCUCUUGAGAUGGGAAAAGGAAAAUACUUUCCCAGCUUUCCUUGCAACCAGAGUGGCCAUGUGACACAGCUCUGGUGGUAAGGCAAAGUGAAAAUGUGUGGGGCCCAGAGGGAUCUAAGAAGGCUCUUCACUUCAUUGUCUAGUGAAGCAGCAGCCAACACUCUAUCAUUGACCUAACAGGUAUAAGGGAAAGCCAAGGGCAUUCCAGAGAUGCCAGUCCUGAUAACAUCAAGCCUUGAAAUGAGGCAAGCAGAGGUCUGCCUGUGAGAAAAAUUAACUGCUUUUUGUUUUUCAUGUGUCUGGUAUUUAAGUACUUGCAGCUAAAAUUAUUCUUAAUUGAUGAGGAAUUAAAAAAUAAAAUCACCUUUUAACCCCUCCAUCAUUCAAAUUGCCCAGAGUCUAAUAUUCAGGAAAGCACUUUUAUUUCUUCCUCUCUCUGCCUCUGUGUCUCUGUCUCUCUCUCUCUCUCUCAUACACACACACACACACACACACACACACACACGUAUUAAUGUAUGUGUACCCGGACAUAUAUUUAUCUAUUUUGCUUUCUAAAAAUGAAAAUAUAUAUUUAAAUUGUUCUUUUUAUAACUUGUUUUUGUUUAAAAAGUAAUGGCAUGAUUAUCUUUAUUGGUUCAUGUAGUUCUAUCAUAUUCUUUUUAAUAGCUUUAUUGAGAUAUAAUUCAUUUAGCAUAUAAUUUACCCAUUUAAAGUGUGUGAUUCAAUGUUUUUGGUAUAUGAAAACUUGUGUAAUCAUCACUAUAAUUGGUCUUAGAACAUUUUCAUCAACACUCUCCAAGAAAACCCUGAAUCCAUGAGCAGUCACUUCCCAUUUCCUCCCACCUUUCCAUCCCUGGGCA
ensembl:lncRNA